GAGUUUGAUCAUGGCUCAGAUUGAACGCUGGCGGCAUGCCUUACACAUGCAAGUCGAACGGUAACAGGUCUUCGGAUGCUGACGAGUGGCGAACGGGUGAGUAAUACAUCGGAACGUGCCCAGACGUGGGGGGAUAACGAGGCGAAAGCUUUGCUAAUACCGCAUACGAUCUAAGGAUGAAAGCAGGGGACCGCAAGGCCUUGCGCGUUUGGAGCGGCCGAUGGCAGAUUAGGUAGUUGGUGGGAUAAAAGCUUACCAAGCCGACGAUCUGUAGCUGGUCUGAGAGGACGACCAGCCACACUGGGACUGAGACACGGCCCAGACUCCUACGGGAGGCAGCAGUGGGGAAUUUUGGACAAUGGGCGAAAGCCUGAUCCAGCAAUGCCGCGUGCAGGAUGAAGGCC
rnacentral:rRNA from 1 species